rnacentral:tRNA from 1 species
GAGGGUAUAGCUCAGUGGUAGAGCGCAUGCUUAACAUGCACAAGGUCCUGGGUUCAAUCUCCAGUACCUCUG